rnacentral:rRNA from 1 species
GACGAACGCUGGCGGCGUGCUUAACACAUGCAAGUCGAACGAAGUGGCGAACGGGUGAGUAACGCGUAAUCAACCUGCCCUUCAGAGGGGGACAACAGUUGGAAACGACUGCUAAUACCGCAUACUGAAGGAGGGGAUUGCGUGUGAUUAGCUAGUUGGAGGGGUAACGGCCCACCAAGGCGAUGAUCAGUAGCCGGUCUGGGGGGAUGAACGAGCAAAUUGGGACUGGGAAACGGCCCAGACUCCUGAGGGAGGCAGGCGGGGGGAAUCUUCCGAAAUGGGCGAAAGUCUGACGGAUCAACGCCGCGGGAGGGAUGACGGCCUUCGGGUUGUAAAGCUCUGUUAAUCGGGACGCGGUACCGGAAUAGAAAGCCACGGCUAACUACGUGCCAGCAGCCGCGGUAAUAC